CACGUAGGGAGCAAGCGUUAUCCGGAUUUACUGGGUGUAAAGGGCGUGUAGGCGGGCCUGCAAGUCAGAAGUGAAAUCUGGGGGCUUAACCCCCAAACUGCUUUUGAAACUGUGGAUCUUGAGUGAUGGAGAGGCAGGCGGAAUUCCCAGUGUAGCGGUGAAAUGCGUAGAUAUUGGGAGGAACACCAGUGGCGAAGGCGGCCUGCUGGACAUUAACUGACGCUGAGGCGCGAAAGCGUGGGGAGCAAACAGG
rnacentral:rRNA from 1 species